rnacentral:ncRNA from 12 species
ACUGAGGAGCGUUGCGACAGGUUUUCCUGCCAGGCUCAGUAGAUUGAAGGACAAUUUAAAUACAACGGCGCUCAGUCAUC